GCCAGCGUAGCUCAGAGGUAGAGCAGCGGUUUCGUAAACCGCUGGUCGAUGGUUCGAAUCCAUUCGCUGGCUCCA
rnacentral:tRNA from 1 species